AGCAUAUCAAUAAGCGGAGGAAAAGAAACCCAACAGGGAUUGCCUUUAGUAACGGCGAGUGAAGCGGCAAUAGCUCAAAUUUGAAAGCUGGCGUCUUCGACGUCCGCGUUGUAAUUUGUAGAGGAUGCUUCGGCGAAGACACCUGCCUAAGUCCCCUGGAACGGGGCGUCACAGAGGGUGAGAAUCCCGUAUGUGGCGGGCCGUCUAAGCCAUGUGAAGCUCCUUCGACGAGUCGAGUUGUUUGGGAAUGCAGCUCUAAAUGGGAGGUAAAUUUCUUCUAAAGCUAAAUAUUGGCCAGAGACCGAUAGCGCACAAGUAGAGUGAUCGAAAGAUGAAAAGCACUUUGGAAAGAGAGUUAAAAAGUACGUGAAAUUGUUGAAAGGGAAGCGCUUGCAACCAGACUCGCUCGCAGUUGCUCAGCCGGCCUCUUGGCCGGUGUACUCUUCUGCGAUCGGGCCAGCAUCAGUUCGGGCGGCCGGAUAAAGGUGUCGGGAAUGUAGCACCCUUCGGGGUGUGUUAUAGCCCGGCGCGGAAUGCGGCCAGCCUGGACUGAGGAUCUCGCUUCGGCAAGGAUGCUGGCGUAAUGGUUGUAAGCGGCCCGUCUUGAAACACGGACCAAGGAGUCUAACAUCUAUGCGAGUGUUUGGGUGUCAAACCCAUGCGCGUAAUGAAAGUGAACGGAGGUGGGAACCCCUCGCGGGGUGCACCAUCGACCGAUCCUGAUGUCUUCGGAUGGAUUUGAGUAAGAGCAUAGCUGUUGGGACCCGAAAGAUGGUGAACUAUGCCUGAAUAGGGUGAAGCCAGAGGAAACUCUGGUGGAGGCUCGCAGCGGUUCUGACGUGCAAAUCGAUCGUCAAAUUUGGGUAUAGGGCGAAAGACU
rnacentral:rRNA from 1 species